CGGAGCUUGGCCCACCGCCUCCGGGGCGGACAGGGCGGGGCGGCGUGAAUUGGCGAAUGAAUCCAGGGAACUACAAGGAAUUCAAUAUAGCUGGGGUAGGAAGCUGGAGAGAUUGAAGUCCCUUUGCACGUUGGAUGAGCUCCCUGACCAGACGGGGCCACCAAGUUGGCUCUGCAGAUGGGCAGAGCCACUGGCUGAGAUUUCUACGCUGGUGCCACUGCAAGCAGGAAUGUGGUCCACCAAGAUCUGAUUGAUGCCUGCAUUUCUUGUGAUCGCCCAGCCUCGAGACCGAAGAAAGAGCCCCGAGACAGUGACAGAGACAUCAGUGGCUUAAUGGACAUGGAAUCUUACCAGCCCAAAGCAAGGUCCUGGAGCAGCAUCUCCACUGUGUACAGCAGAAGGUGAGCAAGACAUGACAGCAGCCUUCGCUACCCCAGGGGAGAAGGAGGCUACCAUUUA